UACGGGAGGCAGCAGCGGGGAAUCUUGGACAAUGGGCGCAAGCCUGAUCCAGCCAUGCCGCGUGUGUGAAGAAGGCCUUCGGGUUGUAAAGCACUUUCAGUAGGGAGGAAGGCUUUGGGCUAAUACCCUGGAGUACUUGACGUUACCUACAGAAGAAGCACCGGCUAACUCCGUGCCAGCAGCCGCGGUAAU
rnacentral:rRNA from 1 species